CACUCCAGCCUGGGUGACAGAGUGAGAUCUUGUCUCAUAAAAAAAAUAAAAAAAAAUAAAAAAAAUAAAUAAAUAAAUUGUGGGAGCAGAAUUUUUGGUUGUUGCAGAAUAUCACCUUAAAUUAAAUCUUUAAUUUAAAAAACCUGAGUUUUGAUUAAGUUGUGCGAAUUGCUUGGACGCAAUCCAGAUAAAAAGUGCUAAGUAUAGCUAGAUGUGGAUAAUGCAUAUGGUAAAAAAUUAUGUUCAAAGACCACAAUCAUAUUUUCGAAAAUCUGCACUUUGGAGAAACUCCCAAAAUAUAUAAAAGAUAAAGUAUAUAGAUAAUGUAUAUAGCUUAAGAAGACUAUUUUUAUUACUUUUUAUUUCAUUUUGGGAAAAGGUGGAUGUUUUAUUAUCGUUUGAGAAAGGAAAUAAUAUUUUCUUAAAAUGCUAUUUCCUGCGAUAUAUCAUUUCAUAUGUAAUGUGUUAAAAAUAAGAACAAACUCUCAUUAAGAUUCUACUGCUGUUAUAUUUAAAAAGCUCUGUUUGGCUUCAAAAACAAUAAUUUGCUGAGCUUUAUCUUAAACAUACUUUUAAGGGACAAUGGACCAUAACUGAAUAAACUGCAUUUCAUAAUUUUUGAAGUGAAAGAAAUCUUUAUUAUGUAAACAAGUAGAACUAAGAAAUCUACCUACGUAUGUAAUUCUGUUUUAAUUGUACUUACAUAUCUAUAUAUACAAGAAAAAUAAAUAAUAAAAUAAGAAGUUGGCUGUGAUUGUGCUGAAUGACAAAACUAUGAGAUCUAUUUUUCUACUUUUUAUAUUUGUCAAACUUCUUGAAAAUUCAUCUUCAUGAAUAUAUCCUAAAAAAGAUAAAAUAAUAAAUAUCCCCUAUUUUGUCUGAGUGGUAAAUGAAAACUCAGAAUUUUAUAUCUGCAUUGGAAAAAGCUCUUACGAUUUACUAAUAAAUCUCUAAAAAUAAAUUAUUUUAUUUUUUGUGAUUAUAUCUUGCUUCUUCAUAAAGCGGACAGCAACAUACUUAGAUUACAGAUUGGUAAAUAGAAGUUCAGAAAAUUAUUGCUGUUCAACAAUAAUAGUUCAUAUUUGUUAACACUAACUCUAGUAGUCUGUAUACAUUAACACAGUACUCAGAACAACCAUAUAAGGUAGUACUGCUUUUAUGUCCAUUUUACAGGGGAAGAAGCUGAGGCACAGAGACGUUAAGAAUCAUGCUCAUGAACACACAACUAAUAAAUGGCAAAGCAAGAAUGAAUCCAGGAGUGGAUGAGCUCAAGCAGGGAAAGUCAUAAUCCCAAAGAUGAGGAAUAGCAAACUUCAGUGGAUGGACAGAAAAGAAGGGAAGUUUCCAGAGAAGGCGUCUGGGAAGAGGGUCAGAGUGGAAGGCAGAGGGCCAUGUGUAUACAUGCUGAUGCUUUAACCAGAAUGGAAGCAUUUUGAUGGUAAGGGCUUAUAUCUUAUAUACUCUUUGAGAUAAAUGUGAGACCCUUCUUCUGACCCUGAUCUUCAGAAAUGUCUGUUACAGUCCUUUGUACACACAUAUUUCUUCGCUGAUGCUGUGGUGGUCUGUCAGUAAUUUUCUUGUGUUAACCUUCUCAGCUAGAGCUUACAAGUCCCUGUGUCCUCACCUGUUAUGGACUAGGAGUUCGUUUACUAGAGAGCCUCAGUACUAUCCUAGCGCCUUCUCCAAGAGCAACAGGAGCAGACUCCUUGGUAUAUGCUCUCUAUGUGCACUGAGUCAGACCCCUCCCACAAAUGCACAGCAUGCCACUUUUACCUGUGUUGACUUUUUGCCUGAGUUGAUGAGAGAUUAUGGGAUAUAUCCUUUUAUCAUUGAAUCAUAGAUUUUUUCUUUUCUUCAUAUAUUGGCUGUUUCCGUACAUAGUUAGAACUUUAUGAAAUAGAAAUCGAAUCUCUCUCUUUUCUUUAUGGCCUGAAUAUUUAGUAGCAUAGCAGAAACAAAGCUACCAUAGAAGUCUGGACCUGGAAUUUAUGACAUGCUAAGGGGAUGUAAUAUAGUCAAAAAAGCACAGAUUUAGGAAUUAGGGGUUAUGAUUCUCAUUCUGUCACUUCAUAUCUGUGACUUUGGAAAAAAUAUUUAAAUUUUUGAGCCCUAUUUUCCUCAUUAUAAAGUGAAGAACUUGCUACAGAGUGCUUGUAAAGAUCAAAUAAACUUACCAAGAUAAAGGGCUUACCUUGUUGUAGGCUCCCAGUAUAAGGAAGUUGAAAUUCUAGUACAUAAAGAAUCAUUUUCCUCCAUGUUUUCAGAUGCUUGUCUUUUGGCCAUUCCGUAGCUCAUUUCCACUCAUCCAUGUUAGGUGGGUUAGUAGAAAAACAAGCCUUAAUUCAGCCAUGCCUGUUUGGUGCAGCUAAGGCACGUAAUUUUAGUUGGUGAUAAAUAUACUGCUGAAAUGGUUUAGGGCAUAAUCUAGUUUUCUUGAUUCAUACUACAGGUGGGUUAAAAAUAUACUUACAAUCAGUUUCUCAUGAUAAUGCGUAAAUAUCCUAUUUUAGUCUUUCUUUCUGGAAAAAAAAUCUAGCAACAAAUUUCUCAUAGACUGGAGUAUUUAUUUCAAGCACAUCCCAUACAGAAUCCCUCUUGGCUUCUCUCUAAAUAACCCAAAAUUUGCUUCCUACUUCCGGAUCUCUGCUGCAAUCCUGAAUCAGUACUAGAUGACUCCGUUGCAAGUUAGCGCAGGUUUCAGACAAGCCUACUGGGUAAAGAGAGAACUUUUCGAAGACAAGAGACAAAUAAGCUGCAACUUUAACUUGGCAGACGUAUUUAUUGAAAUUGUGGUUUAGGAGAAUUUUCCAAAGCCCCUGUAGCUGUAGAUCUGAUUUGAGAGCUCCAACUUCUCUCUCUUCUUUGGGAAUGAAUAUUAUUUAGGAAAGCCCUGUCUUGUUGCCUUUGUUUGGUGUAAUUACUUGUAAUUACCCUUUCAUUCUCAAGAAUCAUAAUUUGGAUGAUAAAAUGUAUGGUCAUUUCUUCCAGGCCUUUUGCAGAAUAAAGUUCAUCUGUUUUAAGAUAUAUUUCUUGUAUUAAUCUAAGAAAUAUUAGAAUACCUUUUCUAUAGCAGAAGCCCUUGGGACCUCAUCUUGCAGUCAUUUAAAUAUUUCUUCAGAGUAAUAAUUAAAAGCACACAUAAGCUAAUGAAUAACUCCCCAUGGCUCUCUUAAUGGCAAAAGCAAAUAAUAUAACUUCACAGGGACUUACCAAAUACAGCAGCCCUAGGAGAGAAACAUGAGGAUUUGUCCCUUCAAGUUUAAAUUUGCGAAGCAAUUUGCAAUCAUUGUAAUUAGUUUUUCCAUUUCGUAAAUAUAAGAAUAGGUAUUCACAUUGGACAGAAAGGGAAUGGAGACUCAGAGAAACCUAAUGCUGUGCCUUCUGGAAUAUUGUUCUAGGCUUGAAUUCUGAACACUGUGGUCUCACACACCCUUUACAAACUUGAGUCAUCUCCCUUCCUGACGCUGGUGAGAUGUGCUGUGGUUUAGCAAUUUGAGGGUAGUAAGCUUUUAAAAAGAUCAUCAGAGAUGCUUUAGAGUUAAUGUGGAGAACAGGUUUCCGUGGUGCCGUGUGGUUGCUGGGAUGGGAAAGAAUGACACAGCUGUUCUCUCCAGUGGGAGGAUGCACUGGCUCUUUUGGAAGCUGUGUCAGGAAAAAGCUGAGAUCUUCCUGAUCCUAAGGCAUCUGAGUAGGUAUAUGUUCAGGUUGGGGAAGACUGGUUCUUAAGAAGCAUCAUAAUUGCAGGAGAUGGGGUUGAAUGAAAGAGGAGACAAGAAUGGUCUACCUGCUUGAUAAUAUCCUUUCCAUCUAUUCAAUGUCUGGCCUGAUCCAGUUUAUAGUUUUUCCCUGGCUCCCUGUCUGCAGCCUGGUUCUGAGAGUAGAAACUAAGUUCAAAGUAGGCAGGGGAGCACAGGAAGGUUUACCCUCCAAAAAAAAAAAGAGCUUGGAUUGCCUUUGUCUGGUGGGAAAAUGUGCAGCAGCAGAGGAAAGAAUAGUGCCAUGAAACCA